UACAGAGGGGGCAAGCGUUGUUCGGAAUUACUGGGCGUAAAGGGCGCGUAGGCGGCCUUCUAAGUCGAACGUGAAAUCCCCGGGCUCAACCCGGGAACUGCGUCCGAUACUGGAAGGCUUGAAUCCGGGAGAGGGAUGUGGAAUUCCAGGUGUAGCGGUGAAAUGCGCAGAUAUCAGGAGGAACACCCGUGGCGAAAGCGGCUCUCUGGGACGGUACUGACGCUGAGACGCGAAAGCGUGGGGAGCAAACAGG
rnacentral:rRNA from 1 species